AAGAGUCAGACACGACUGAGCAACUGAAAUGAACUGAAAGGUCAACAAGAUCUUUGCCUUGAAGAGCUAGUAUUCUGUUGGAGUAUAGUCAGGACCCAGCUAGUACAUACAGUUACCCAACAGAUUUUUUUGUGCCUCAUGCUGAAGUAUGAAUGGAUAUCCAAGCAUUUGAGGCAUUUGAGGAGAGACCCAAUGGGAAAUAAAGCACAUGUUGUUCAGUU